rnacentral:rRNA from 1 species
UACGGAGGGUGCAAACGUUGCUCGGAAUUAUUGGGCGUAAAGCGCACGUAGGCGGUCUCGUAAGUCGGGUGUGAAAGCCCGGGGCUCAACCCCGGAAGUGCACUCGAAACUGCAAGGCUUGAGUACGGAAGAGGGUCUCGGAAUUCCCGGUGUAGAGGUGAAAUUCGCAGAUAUCGGGAGGAACACCAGUGGCGAAGGCGGAGACCUGGGCCGAUACUGACGCUGAGGUGCGAAAGCGUGGGGAGCAAACGGG